rnacentral:rRNA from 1 species
AUUGAACGCUGGCGGCCGGCCUAACACAUGCAAGUCGAACGAGUGGCGGACGGGUGAGUAAUGUCUGGGAAACUGCCCGAUGGAGGGGGCUAACUACUGGAAACGGUCGCUAAUACCGCAUACCAUCGGAUGUUCCCAGAUGGGAUUAGCUAGUAGGUGGGGUAACGGCUCACCUAGGCGACGAUCCCUAGCUGGUCUGAGAGUAUGACCAGCCACACUGGAACUGAGACACGGUCCAGACUCCUACGGGAGGCAGCAGUGGGGAAUAUUGCACAAUGGGCGCAAGCCUGAUGCAGGAAUGCCGCGUGUAUGAAGAAGGCCUUCGGGUUGUAAAGUACUUUUAGCGGGGAGGCGUUACCCGCAGAAGAAGCACCGGCUAACUCCGUGCCAGCAGCCGCGGUAAUUC